rnacentral:rRNA from 1 species
CCUACGGGAGGCAGCAGUGAGGAAUAUUGGUCAAUGGCCGGAAGGCUGAACCAGCCAAGCCGCGUGAAGGACGAAGGUGCCAAGCAUUGUAAACUUCUUUUGUCAAGGGACAAAAUCAGGCUCGAGAGCCUGACCGAGGGUACUUGAAGAAAAAGCAUCGGCUAACUCCGUGCCAGCAGCCGCGGUAAUACGGAGGAUGCGAGCGUUAUCCGGAUUUAUUGGGUGUAAAGGGAGCGUAGGCGGUAAUGCAAGUCAGAAGUGAAAGCCCGGGGCUCAACUCCGGGACUGCUUUUGAAACUGUGUUGCUAGAUUGCAGGAGAGGUAAGUGGAAUUCCUAGUGUAGCGGUGAAAUGCGUAGAUAUUAGGAGGAACACCAGUGGCGAAGGCGGCUUACUGGACUGUAAAUGACGCUGAGGCUCGAAAGCGUGGGGAGCAAACAGGAUUAGAUACCCCUGUAGUC